rnacentral:rRNA from 1 species
UACGUAGGGAGCAAGCGUUGUCCGGAAUCAUUGGGCGUAAAGCGCGCGUAGGUGGCCAUUUAAGUCCGCUGUGAAAGUCAAAGGCUCAACCUUUGAAAGCCGGUGGAUACUGGAUGGCUAGAGUAUGGAAGAGGCGAGUGGAAUUCCUGGUGUAGCGGUGGAAUGCGCAGAUAUCAGGAGGAACACCAAUAGCGAAGGCAGCUCGCUGGGACGUUACUGACACUGAGGCGCGAAAGCGUGGGGAGCGAACAGG